GCACCUGAGGCAUAAGGAAGUUCCCAGGGUAAGGGCUGAAUUGGAGCUACAUCCACCAGUCUACACCACGGCCACAGCAACGCAGGAUUCAAGCUGCAUCUGUGACCUACACUACAGUUCAUGGCAAUGCCGGAUCCUUAACCCCCUGAGUGAGGCCAGGUAGUGAACCCACAUCCUCAUUGAUACUAGCCAGGUUCUUAACCCACUAAGCCACAAUGGGAACUCCCUCAGACUUUUUAAUCAGGGAAAAAAAGACAAAAUACUCCAUUCUAACAGUUCCCUGUUUUAUUGCAAUACAUCAGAGUCUGGUUAAUAUUAAGUGAUACCAACAUAAAGUAUUGGUGACAGUCUUGUUACAUUUUUGACUGUCCCACCUUAAAUAUUUCUGUGCAAAAGAAUCCACACCAUUGUUUGGUAGCAGAGAAUCUCUUAUAAAGUUCCCUAAGACAUCGAGGGGAUCAAACCAAACAAAAUGAAAUGAGUGAUAAGAGGCCAAAGCAGUUUCUUUUCCCCUUCCAUACACACUUAUUUGUCAGCAUUAUAUUCUAAACAACAACAAAAAAAAAUGAUUACACCCAGGCCAUGCAAAACUGUACAAUAAUAUUACAAUGAGAAAAAACCCUAAAAAAUUUAUAAAUGAUAUUACACUAUCAAAUAAAAAGGCAGGUCAUUUUGUUGUCAGGAAAUUCCAAGGCUGAUUUGUUUUCAUCCAUUCCCCCGGUGAAUGAAAUGGUUUCCGUGGGUAAAGGCCGUCCCUGGGGAGGAGGAGGUGCCUGGCCAGGGCUGGCAUGGGGCAGAGCGCUGGCUGAAGCAAGGCCCUUGAGAGGAGCAGGACUCUGUGGAGAACUCUGGACUUGGUAAGAAAGUCCUGGUAAGACAGGGCCCAGACACUGACCUCAGACCAGCCCCCGCAGGAAAGCGCUGCCCUUGUGCUGCCCUUUGAAGGGGAGAGCAGAACAUCUGUUUCUGUGUCUAAGAGAAAUUUAGACAGAAAGUAAGCGAGGCAGAUUCUCUUUACUUUCAAGAGAUAUUUUCAGUUCUCUUUCUCAUGUGCUUUACUGGUGAAAUGACUCUGGAGAAAUGAAGUUCUGGUUCUGCAUCUCAUUUCCUUGUGGUAAAUUUUUUUCACAUGGCGAUGUGACUACAAGCCCGUAGAGCCACUGAGGGAGGAAGAGAACAGAAGGCCACGCUGGCCUGCCUGCCUGCCUGUGCCCGCCCGCCCGCCGGGCUCAACACGGCCGCUUCUCACCGCGUGAGGGGAAGAAUAUUUGGUUAAGGCUGUUCAAGUCCUUGCAUUUGAGGUUUGAAAUUAUUUGGUCAUUAAACCCUUUUUCCCAGGCUCAUCUGAAGAAGCUCACACCCCUCCUCAAAACAGACUCCUCCCCGAGAAGCCAGCUUGGCUGCGGGACAGGUGCCUCAAUGCGACUCAGGGAGAGGGCGAGGGGAUCAGCCACGAAAAAAGCCCUUUUAUGAGCCUUUUCAAGGACCUUCAGAAACAACCUCAUUCCUGUGUCCUUUCAGAUGGAAGGGAUCCAGAAGGUGACAAAACUGCACUUUGACAUUCAUGGGCAGAAGAUGCCAAAGUAGAGUAAGAAAGGAGAAGUAGGGUUCCAAUUCCACUGCCAGGAAAGAAAUGCCUUGGGUAGAAGUAGAUUUGUCUUGUCAUGAUACUGCUGAAGAGGCUUCAAAUGUCAGAAGUCUGGUUCCCCGGUCACACUCCAAACCAAAGAAACCAAAGCCUCUGAACGUUUCCUACGCUCCAGGUGACCGCGACCAGUGUGAGAAACGGCACCAAAGGAACCCUGCUCUCACUCUCCCUCUGCCAGUGUCAGCCUGAGGCCUUCCACGCUUUAAGUACUUGGUUGGAAAACAGACAAGAAACAACACAUUUCUUUAAAUUAAAUGCGCUCUCUCAUA
ensembl:lncRNA